CAAAGUGUUGGAAUUACAGGCGUGAACCACCAUGCCUGGCCAGCUCUAUUUCUUUAAGCCUACAUGUUUUGCACUUGUUAAAAGUAUUUGAAUAUACAAUUACUCAGUUUCCCUUGUUUAUGCUUGAAUUUUGUAUAAUCUUAAAUAUUUUUUCCAAUCUAAGCUUUAUUUUAUCCCGUUUCUUCUAUAUUUGUAUAACUUUAGGUGGCUAUCUUCAUUGAAAAUUUUUUCUCAAAAGCCUUAAAAUAGAACAUAGUUCUUGGCAGCAAUUUAAAGUUAUUUGAGGAGAAGGGGAGACUUACAAUGAUGCUUCAAUUGAAGCAAACUAAAAAGUAAUGAAGCAAGACAGAGGAAAAAGCAGUAUUCACUUGAGCACAUCCCAAAAGAAUAACAUUUCAAAUGUAACUAGAAAAAAGAUUGCUGAAGUUUGCAAUACAGAAAUAAUUAUUAAGAUAGCUUUAAAGCCCUGCUCAGCUUUUGAAUGUUGGGAAUUGACCCAGAGGUGGCUGUAAACUAAGAUGGUUCCUUCAGUAAUGACCAUUUUUUCUUUUUCAAGAUGAUGAUUAUUCCCCACCUUCUAGGACACAAAGACCAACGAGCCACCACAGCCACCAGUCCCAGAACCCGCUAAUGCUGGGGAACGGAAAAUGAGGGAGUUCAACUCUGGCCCUCACAAUCCAGUGGAGGAGACGAAACUCAUCUGCCUCUGUCCCUCUGGGCACGCCUCAUGCCAGGUGCAUCUGUGGACAGGGGCCAUGCUCCUGGGCUUCCAAAGUUGGAGAAAGCUGCCAGGCUCAGAGCCACCUAAGCUGAAGAUUCCCUUGAGAACAAGUACUGUCCUGCGGUUUCAUGGCCUUUCUUCCAUUUGUGGUUCUUGCGAAGUGGAAUUUAAAUGACAUCUUAUCAAGAUCGAUAAAUACUAGUUUCCCAGUGCUGGAAUAUAGAAAAUGGAUGGACAAGUAAAUCCCACUCAGCACCCAUAGUCCAGGCAUGGGGACCUCAACACACCUGAGCCCCAAACAUCACCUUUCAUUCUGGACCUACCAUGAAAGACUUCUGAAUCCAGGAAGAGAAACUGACUGGGCAACAUGUUAUUCAGAAACAGGACCUUGCCCUGUCACUCAGGAUGGAGUUCAAUGGUCCUAUCAUGGCUCAUUAUAGCCUUAAACUCCCAGGCUCAAGCAAUCCUACCAUGUCAGCCUUCCCAGUAGCUGGGACUACAGACGGAGUUUCACUCUUGUUGCCC
rnacentral:lncRNA from 1 species